rnacentral:rRNA from 1 species
CUAUCACUCCUACGGGGAGGCAGCAGUAGGGAAUCUUCCACAAUGGGCGCAAGCCUGAUGGAGCAACACCGCGUGAGUGAAGAAGGGUUUCGGCUCGUAAAGCUCUGUUGUUAAAGAAGAACACGUAUGAGAGUAACUGUUCAUACGUUGACGGUAUUUAACCAGAAAGUCACGGCUAACUACGUGCCAGCAGCCGCGGUAAUACGUAGGUGGCAAGCGUUAUCCGGAUUUAUUGGGCGUAAAGAGAGUGCAGGCGGUUUUCUAAGUCUGAUGUGAAAGCCUUCGGCUUAACCGGAGAAGUGCAUCGGAAACUGGAUAACUUGAGUGCAGAAGAGGGUAGUGGAACUCCAUGUGUAGCGGUGGAAUGCGUAGAUAUAUGGAAGAACACCAGUGGCGAAGGCGGCUACCUGGUCUGCAACUGACGCUGAGACUCGAAAGCAUCGGGUAGCGAACAGGAUUAGACUACCCUGGUAG